GGGAUCUACACUGGAUGCCAGUGAGCUUCCAGAUGCAAUUCCAGGGAUGAUGCUAAAAAGCAGAUGGCUCAAUAUAGACCGUGGUUAGGAAGCAAUCCAUGGAUCCAGAAGUUUCUUCAAGCAAGAAAAUGAGCAGGAUAAUUUGACUGAGACUAGUGUCAUCGUAGUUCAAUAGCCUCAUCGAGAGAUCUUAGAGUGGUUGAAGGCUGUCCACAA